GGCCGGCUGGCUCAAUGGUAGAGCGUCUGACUACGAUUCCACAAGUACUCGGACAAUUCUGUCUGCCUACGGUGGCUCGGUCAAUCAGGAGGUUCCAGGUUCGAGACCUGGGUUGGUCG